GUAUGCUUUGGAAACUGUUAGACUUGAGUGCAGAAGGGGAGAGUGGAAUUCCAUGUGUAGCGGUGAAAUGCGUAGAUAUAUGGAGGAGCACCGGUGGCGAAAGCGGCUCUCUGGUCUGUCACUGACGCUGAGGCUCGAAAGCGUGGGUAGCGAACAGGAUUAGAUACCCUGGUAGUCCACGCCGUAAACGAUGAGUGCUAGGUGUUAGGUCCUUUCCGGGACUUAGUGCCGCAGCUAACGCAAUAAGCACUCCGCCUGGGGAGUACGACCGCAAGGUUGAAACUCAAAGGAAUUGACGGGGGCCCGCACAAGCGGUGGAGCAUGUGGUUUAAUUCGAAGCAACGCGAAGAACCUUACCAGGUCUUGACAUCCCGAUGCCCGCUCUAGAGAUAGAGUUUUUCUUCGGAACAUCGGAGACAGGUGGUGCAUGGUUGUCGUCAGCUCGUGUCGUGAGAUGUUGGGUUAAGUCCCGCAACGAGCGCAACCCUUAUUGUUAGUUGCCAUCAUUGAGUUGGGCACUCUAGCGAGACUGCCGGUAAUAAACCGGAGGAAGGUGGGGAUGACGUCAAAUCAUCAUGCCCCUUAUGACCUGGGCUACACACGUGCUACAAUGGUUGGUACAACGAGUCGCAAGCCGGUGACGGCAAGCUAAUCUCUGAAAGCCAAUCUCAGUUCGGAUUGUAGGCUGCAACUCGCCUACAUGAAGUCGGAAUCGCUAGUAAUCGCGGAUCAGCACGCCGCGGUGAAUACGUUCCCGGGCCUUGUACACACCGCCCGUCACACCACGAGAGUUUGUAACACCCAAAGUCGGUGAGGUAACCAUAUAGG
rnacentral:rRNA from 1 species